rnacentral:rRNA from 1 species
UCCUACGGGAGGCAGCAGUGGGGAAUUUUGCGCAAUGGGGGAAACCCUGACGCAGCAACGCCGCGUGAGUGAUGAAGGCCUUCGGGUCGUAAAGCUCUGUCAGAGGGAAAGAAAUGUAUAGUGGUUAAUACCCAUUAUGCUUGACGGUACCCUCAAAGGAAGCACCGGCUAACUCCGUGCCAGCAGCCGCGGUA